rfam:Arabis alpina cultivar Pajares Aa.chr6_contig_3618, whole genome shotgun sequence.
AUCCCAUGGUGAGGACAGCUUCUGGUGUAUCUUUUUAGAUGUUCCCAAGCUUCACUGAGGGU